rnacentral:lncRNA from 1 species
UGCUGAACUUACAAUAAGAAUACGCUCAAACUCUUGGAUAUUCUGUUUCAUAUCUCGAGUCAACUUGCUUUGAGAAGGCAUUUUAGCAAUACUUGGAUAGUAUGCCCUAGCCACAAAUAGGAGGUCCUUCAUGUGCUUCACCUUGGCAUCUUUCAUGGGCUCCUUAUUUUCCUCCCUCCAGAGGCAGUAGCUCCCAUAUUCCACUUGACAAGUUCUCUGAGUUUCAACAGCAUUUACCAUUGCCCCCUGACCACCUUUGUGCGAUACUUCGGUUAUUGUUUUCUGUUCACAGAAUACACCAGAAUAAGGACGAUUUGUGAGAGACACAAAAGACUAUUACAGAAACCAUUUGUACAUUUGCAGGGCUCGGUUGGGCAACAACAGCUGGGGACACUGGUAAUCCUGCAGAUUAAUUGAGGACAAGGCGUAAAGUUGCGGAUCAAAAUCAAAAUAAAAUACUGGGAGAGGAAUUUCAAGAAAGUGGAACUUGUAAAGUAAACCUCUGUUUUUAGAAUCACUGAUGCUUGUCCUAUUCAUAUCUCUGGAACCAGCGUUAAUGUCGGUUUUCUAGCAUGUCAAACAAGAAAAAAGCGUUAGUAUAAAAACUGUUACAAGCGCAUCUCAACCAAAGAAUCAAUUCUUCACCUUGCCCAACACACGUUGAGAUAUAUAAAGCAACAUAAUUCAUGAAUGUAUUUCAGCUUUCCAGUCGCAUGAGAAAACCACUCAUUCAUCUAAUUUUGUAUCCCUUUAAGCAACAUCACACAAAAGAAUGCAAGAUACAACAAGUGACUGACUAACUACAGCCUCUUCUGCUCUAGUUUAUUUGCUGGGCCAAAAAAAAAAGUUUUUAAGAUUCACUAUUUAACUAGUGGCAUCUUGCAUAAGGUUCCAUAAGUCAAACAGAGAGUUUACUUUUUUCUUUUUAAUAUUAGCAUUCUUCAAUACCAAGAUGGGAAACAUUAAUGCCAAGAACCACGACUGAAUACAUUCUUUUUUCAAUGGUGAAAAAUUCAACAUACAUAAACCAGAUCUGAACUGAACUGAGUGUGUCAAAACUUGAGAGCAGAGGGUAAGACGAAGAAGGGUUCCAACCAUUAUGGAGAUCUAAUUCUCCAGGUAUAGGAAAAGAUGUAAGCUUUUAUAAAAAGAAAAGAACUAAUCUAAUGCUACAACACAGAAAUCGAACAAGUCAAAUGCCUUCACUCUACACUGAAAGAAUGACAAGAUUGGAAACAUUAACGCCAAGAACUAUGACUGAACUCAUUCUUCAACGUUGGAAAAUCGAACAUAUACAGACCAGAUCUGAACUGAACUGAGUGUGAGCAGUAGGUAAGACAAUGAAGGGUUCCAACCAUUAUAAAGAUCUAAUCUUUUUUUUUUGUUAAAAGUUAAAACAACAACAACUAACCUAUACUAUAACACAUAAAUGGAAACAAGUCGAUGCCUUUGAAACAAGUGGAAGGACUAACCUUGGGAAGCACUGGAUUGAUUUUCUGGAGAACCUGAUCCACUCUGUUAGAUAGAUCUCUCUGUAAAAUCGAGGAAGGGAGAUCGAGAACCAGCAUACGAAUUAAAUCGAAAUAAAUGAAACGAAAGUUUAACAGUACCUGUGAAUGGUUAGUAGCAUUGGUUCUGCUUCUCUCGAACUGAUUUUUCAAAGAAAGAGCGUCAGAACAUUUACUAAACCACAUAAAGAAACCAAUUAAAGAAACGUAAUAAUGCUUACAGGAGAAGAAGGCUGGACAGUGACGAUUCCUGGAGAAAGAUAAAGUGGAGAUGAGAAUAGAUCUGAAAGAGAGAUCGAAGCGUGAAGGACAAGAAAGUACCUGGAGAGUGAAAGCUGUUGUGAAGGCCGAGCAAGAAAGCAAGAGGAACCAGCAUUGAGAGGAUAACGAGAACCAACACUCCAAUCACCAGAACUUUCCACCGGCGUUUUCCUCCUCCUCCACCACCACCACCGACUCCUCCGCCUUUCAUAUUUCCGAUUUAGAUUGAAUCAGUGCCUUUCGCAUUGGAUCUCAACAACGUCGGCGACGAUGUUUCUCGCCACGAGUACACUCACUCAAUCCACACUCUCUUUACUCGAUGCCAAUGUCUCUCUCCCCCCUCGCUUCACACACACACACACACUCACUCUCUCUAGCUUUCUCGCUCUUACUAGGUGCUGCACUAGUUAGCCCGAUCGCAUCGUCCCUUUACUUUUUUGCUAAUUCGGAAGAGAGAUGAGAUACACACUCUAUUUCGCACGUGUGUUUCUUUUUCCGCCGUUCGAUUGAUUAUUCAGCCCACUUGCAAGAUCUGUCUCCUGAUCAUAACACGUGUCUUUCUUCACACGGUGGUUACUUAUUUUCAUUUUUUUUUUUUAAUUUUUUUAUAGUCUCCCCGACAAAACCAAUACUCCCGGAUGCCUAGCUUUAUUCGUCACCGUCAACGCCAUUGACGCAGAUGCACUUGGUGACGGUGGAGAUGAGCUGAGACGAUCAAAUUACCGAAAGAUCGAAGCUUUUAUCCAAUUAUUACUGUCAAAAUGCGUUUGUUUAAGCUUCUGGUAUGUACGUUUUUUUACAUUGGUCGUGUAAUGUUUAUUUCCUUCUGUUUCAUGUGAUGCAGUGACUGUUCGAGCAUGUUAUUAGUCGCGACGAAAGCUUUGGCCUUUGCGCAUAACAAGGCUGUUCAUUUGACAACAAGGGAAGUGCAUUUCUUAAGCUCCAUUCUAGCUAGUGUCUCCUCCCCUCGUGUCUCUUGAGUGACUUGCCUGAAAGUUGGGCUCUUGACACUGACACGUCAUCCUCUCUUCUCUUUGGUAACUCUCUCCCUUCUUGUUUGUUCCAUAAUGGCUUUGGUGAUUAGAAGAAGCAACAUCGUUGGUCUGACAAUCUCCUUAUUACUGCAGGUAUUGUUGUAGGGGUCUUAUGCUUGAGCAUUUUGGUUGAGUAUUAACUGUGCCUUUAUGUUUCUAUGCUGACAUUCGUGGGCAAAGGUAUGACGCUACAGUAAGCACACGGUGCAUGCCUUUUCAAAGGACAUUACCAGGGAGGAUGAGAUUGUGGUUGCACUCGCGGGUGUACCUAAUCUUGUUCGUGGAAGUUGGCUGAAGCCUUGAGCAGUUGUCAUUGAUGUAGGACUCAUACGUUCCAGUAAAUAAAGACUCAUACAAGAGCAUGACAACCAUUAUGAUACAGAGAACCUUAGGUUAGAGAUCAAAUGAAAGGACCAAACUGUUUUUUCUUAGGUUUGUUUUGUUGUUUCUGGUUAGACAUUGAAGCAUGUAGUAUGAUAAGCGUCUUGUUGGGGAUGUAUGUUACGAGGAAGCUUUAGGUGUUGCCUCAGCGAUCACUCCUGUGCCUGGAGGAGUCGGACCCAUGACGGAUGGGUCCAUCUGAUAAAUGGUAUCUAUCUCUGUCAUGUCACUAAAUUUUGUUUAAACAAGGGGUUGAUGACAAAUUCACAAAUCCCUUUUUAACUUGAAUUAUCAUGUUGUUGCAUGCUAUGGUCUCUGAUAUAAGGCUCUUCUAUUUAUCAUAUACUCAUGAAUAUCAAGGUCAACAUAACCGCACCGAGGAGAGUUUAAUGCUUUGUUGUUGUAGUUCCUGGUUUCUAGAUACAGUCCAAUGUUUUUUUGUUUCAUUGACUCUUUACAAGAUGGGGAGUCAUAUAACGCAUGUGAAAGACGACGUUAGUUGGCCAAUUAUACAGAAAAUAAACUAAUUGUAACUUCUUUAUUUUUUGCAAGUUCAUUUACCAGCAACAAUACCAGUGGAAGUAUGGCGCGUUUCAUAUGCCACUGAUUCUUUUUUCUUUCCACUGGAAUAAAAAUAAAGAAGUUACAAUUAGUUUAUUUGGUGCACUGAGAAAUAGAUAAAAAUUCUCAUCACUUUCUAUCAAGUCAAACGCAACAAAAGUAAAAACUGACACAUGAACAAUGGGAAAAUAUAACACGAGGAAAAGAAUUGGCACACACCUCUGCCAAAAAUCAUAUACAACAUCAAAGUUUUCUUCACAUACUCUUUUUUUUUAAUCAAAGCUGAUUUUAAAUCAUCUUGAUUAAGUCUCUUAAAAAUCAAUUUGCUAUCAAUUUUAAAACCCACUUCUGCUUGCACUCUUCCCUUCAGCAUUUCUCACUGCAAUGCAUUCGGGUUUAUUUACCCCCACCAAAAAUGAGAUGUCUGCUUAACCACCAACUCUAAAUCUUUUCUUUGCGUCUGCCUGCUUCUAAAGCAUUGGCCCUGUAGCCUUUUUACUUACUCUCAUCAAGGGUUCACGUUACAGUCACUCAAGAAUCGAUCUCCCCGAUUCAGAUGCUUUCUCCAAUAGGUUUUGUACUGUGGGAUUCCCAGCUCUAGCCACGGCUUCAUGUUCCCAUUGUAGUGCAGAGUGGCUGCGUUUUUUAUCGUUUGGGUAUUGAUGUAGUAGUCAUAACCAAGCCCUGAUAGAGCCCAUUUGUCGUCAAGAGCAUAAACUUUGUCUUGAAACGUGAGCAAACUUGCUUGCAAUGCAAUUGCUUCUCUCGACUCACCUCCACCACUCAUCUGCUGCGCAUAGAAUAGAAAGCCAUCGCUCAGAAACAUACAAAAUCACCUAGCAAGAUCUAUUCUAGGUUUUUCAGAAACUGACCUGUUUGUAAAAUUUCUGGUAUGUUUCUGAAACUCCCAGUUCCCUCCAUCUAGCAAGAUCAAUGACAUUCAAUCCAGACAUCCAGAGACAAGCGUUAGCAUCAAAACUCCCUCCCUUGAGACUCUUUAGCUGACCCAAUCUCACAGAGCACUCUUUCACUGCACCAUUCACUUUUCCUUCCAUAUCAAGCUCCCAAAGAGGAGACAAGUCUCGCUGGACUACAACGUCAUGAUCCAGAAUCACAACUUUUUUCAACUUGUGAAAUAUCUUUGGGAAGAGGUAGUGAGAUUGAGAGAACAGGGAUAAGUAAUGUGUUCGUUUCCCUUGUGAUGCCAAAUUGUCGCCGCUGAGGAAGGAGACACGGAACUCCGCAGGCAAAGAGAGCUUCACAUCAGAAUUGUCCAGCUCGAGCUUUUCAAUGUUCAAUACUUGAAUAGCUGCUUGUUUGCAGGGAUUCCUGAUAAACCAUUGUUUCAUCGCAAAGUAAUUCUGCUCGUUUGUCAAUACAUGGAAAACAAAGUUUUUACUUUCCUGAAACAUCAACAACCAACCAAGAGUUAGAUAUAAAGGUUCUAUGACUGCAUCAAAAAAUAGAAACACAAAGUAAAGGAAACUGGAUUUAAUACAUUACCCUUGCGUGUAAAACAGUUGAGUUGAUAACAACGGAAGAUGCAAGUAUAUUGUCGGAGAUGACAACAAAGUGAAGCAAUGAGGGAUCUGAAAAUUUCUCACUAUCCUCAGUAUCAACUGAACCUGACUUGAAAUACUCCACAGUUAGUCUCAUUGACAAGCAAUGAAGACUCUUGGGCAUUGUAUGUACUGCAAGCUGGUAGAGGAACACGCUCUGUUUCAUGUGGAAACUAGCUUCAUCCUCGGUCAUGUCCAGGAUCUGUCUCAGUUUCUUGUCAACAUUGUUACAGUCGACUGGAAAAGACUUUGCCUUUGAAAUUACAGCUUCCAUCUUCUCAAAAUUUUUAUCAACCCUGGCAGAUCAGUGGAAUGAUGAAUAAGUCGAUUAUAGGAAAUAAACAGAUGAUUCUAUACAGAAAACCUUCACCCCAAAGAGAACAAACAGCAUCCUCUCCUAUCAUCUAGUGGAUUAGUUUAUUGAUUCUUACUUCUUAGGCUGGUUUAAGAUAUUUGCACAGACAAGGCUUUAAAAUAAGAGUAUUUUUGGGUGUGUGAUGCACAUUGAAAAAAUGAAGAGAGAAAAUUAUGACUGGGAGAGUUUAAACCACUAGAAAACAGGACGCCCAGACAGGAACUAACUAGGAGAGUUUAAUUUGACUAAAUCCGACUCUACGGGACUAACUAUCCGUACAAACAUGCUUAAAUCUUAACUGGUAAAGAACUUACUGUGGUGGAAGAUCAGCAUCUGCUGAACUUACAAUAAGAAUACGCUCAAACUCUUGGAUAUUCUGUUUCAUAUCUCGAGUCAACUUGCUUUGAGAAGGCAUUUUAGCAAUACUUGGAUAGUAUGCCCUAGCCACAAAUAGGAGGUCCUUCAUGUGCUUCACCUUGGCAUCUUUCAUGGGCUCCUUAUUUUCCUCCCUCCAGAGGCAGUAGCUCCCAUAUUCCACUUGACAAGUUCUCUGAGUUUCAACAGCAUUUACCAUUGCCCCCU